ACUUGACCAUUGAUGGACACUUAGGUUGUUUCCAAAUCUUGGCUAUUGUAAAUACUGCUGCAAUAAAUGUGGGAGUAGGUAGAUAUCUUUUCAAUAUCCUGUUUUUCUUUCUUUUGGAUAUACACCCAGUAGUGGAAUUACUGGAUCAUCU